UACGAAGGGGGCUAGCGUUGUUCGGAAUUACUGGGCGUAAAGCGCGCGCAGGCGGUCCUUUAAGUUAGAGGUGAAAGCCCGGGGCUCAACUCCGGAAUUGCCUUUAAGACUGCAUCGCUAGAAUUGUGGAGAGGUAAGUGGAAUUCCGAGUGUAGAGGUGAAAUUCGUAGAUAUUCGGAAGAACACCAGUGGCGAAGGCGACUUACUGGACACAUAUUGACGCUGAGGUGCGAAAGCGUGGGGAGCAAACAGG
rnacentral:rRNA from 1 species